UCCCUGGUAGCUCAGUCAGUAAAGAAUCUGCCUGCAGUGCAGGAGACCCAGGUUUGAUCCCUGGGUAGGGAA
rnacentral:tRNA from 1 species